CAAAUUACAUGGCAGGGGAGAUACCAUGAUCAGUAAGGUGGUUCUCCCAGGACGAGGCUAUCCCAUUGUACUCUUGGUGUGCUGAUGCCUGCGAUAUCCCCAAAUGUGGGAUACUCGACUGCAAACUUUGUGGUAAUGGGGGACUGCAUUUGUGCUCUG